AGGUAGGUGUCUCGGUCUUGGAUAUC
rnacentral:rRNA from 1 species